rnacentral:rRNA from 1 species
GGAUGACUGCCCUAUGGGUUGUAAACUUCUUUUAUAUGGGAAUAAAGUUUUCCACGUGUGGAAUUUUGUAUGUACCAUAUGAAUAAGGAUCGGCUAACUCCGUGCCAGCAGCCGCGGUAAUACGGAGGAUCCGAGCGUUAUCCGGAUUUAUUGGGUUUAAAGGGAGCGUAGGUGGACUGGUAAGUCAGUUGUGAAAGUUUGCGGCUCAACCGUAAAAUUGCAGUUGAUACUGUCAGUCUUGAGUACAGUAGAGGUGGGCGGAAUUCGUGGUGUAGCGGUGAAAUGCUUAGAUAUCACGAAGAACUCCGAUUGCGAAGGCAGCUCACUGGAGCGCAACUGACGCUGAAGCUCGAAAGUGCGGGUAUCGAACAGGAUUAGAUACCCUGGUAGUCCGCACGGUAAACGAUGGAUGCCCGCUGUUGGUCUGAAUAGGUCAGCGGCCAAGCGAAAGCAUUAAGCAUCCCACCUGGGGAGUACGCCGGCAACGGUGAAACUCAAAGGAAUUGACGGGGGCCCGCACAAGCGGAGGAACAUGUGGUUUAAUUCGAUGAUACGCGAGGAACCUUACCCGGGCUUGAAUUGCAGAGGAAGGAUUUGGAGACAAUGACGCCCUUCGGGGCCUCUGUGAAGGUGCUGCAUGGUUGUCGUCAGCUCGUGCCGUGAGGUGUCGGCUUAAGUGCCAUAACGAGCGCAACCCCUCUCCUUAGUUGCCAUCAGGUUAAGCUGGGCACUCUGGGGACACUGCCACCGUAAGGUGUGAGGAAGGUGGGGAUGACGUCAAAUCAGCACGGCCCUUACGUCCGGGGCUACACACGUGUUACAAUGGCAGGUACAGAGAGAUGGUGUUCUGCAAAGCGCAUCAAAUCCUUAAAGCCUGUCUCAGUUCGGACUGGGGUCUGCAACCCGACCCCACGAAGCUGGAUUCGCUAGUAAUCGCGCAUCAGCCAUGGCGCGGUGAAUACGUUCCCGGGCCUUGUACACACCGCCCGUCAAGCCAUGAAAGCCGGGGGCGCCUAAAGUCCGUGACCGUAAGGAGCGGCCUAGGGCGAAACUGGUAAUUGGGGCUAAGUCGUAACAAGGUAGCCGUACCGGAAGGUGCGGCUG